rnacentral:rRNA from 1 species
UACGUAGGGUGCGAGCGUUGAUCGGAAUUACUGGGCGUAAAGCGUGCGCAGGCGGUUCGUUGUGUCGGUGGUGAAAUCCCCGGGCUUAACCUGGGAAUGGCCAUGGAAACUGGCGAACUGGAGUGUGGCAGAGGGGGGUGGAAUUCCGCGUGUAGCAGUGAAAUGCGUAGAGAUGCGGAGGAACACCGAUGGCGAAGGCAGCCCCCUGGGCUAGCACUGACGCUCAGGCACGAAAGCGUGGGGAGCAAACAGG